AUUAAUGAACUUGUUAAAGUAUUUGUUUUGAAAACUUAUGAAAGAAUAGCUAUAAUUCUAUUAAUUU
rnacentral:tRNA from 1 species